rnacentral:rRNA from 1 species
UACGGGGGGGGCAAGCGUUGUUCGGAAUUAUUGGGCGUAAAGCGCGUGUAGGCGGCUUAGCAAGUCGGGCGUGAAAGCCCUCGGCUCAACCGAGGAAGUGCACCCGAAACUGCUGAGCUUGAGUGCCGGAGAGGAUGGCGGAAUUCCCCAAGUAGAGGUGAAAUUCGUAGAUAUGGGGAGGAACACCGGUGGCGAAGGCGGCCAUCUGGACGGUAACUGACGCUGAGACGCGAAAGCGUGGGUAGCAAACAGG